UACGGAGGGUGCAAACGUUGCUCGGAAUCAUUGGGCGUAAAGCGCACGUAGGCGGUCCGACAAGUCGGAUGUGAAAGCCCUCGGCUUAACCGAGGAAGUGCAUUCGAAACUGUCGGACUUGAAUAUGGAAGAGGGUCGCGGAAUUCCCGGCGUAGAGGUGAAAUUCGUAGAUAUCGGGAGGAACACCAGUGGCGAAGGCGGCGACCUGGGCCAAUAUUGACGCUGAGGUGCGAAAGCGUGGGGAGCAAACAGG
rnacentral:rRNA from 1 species